rnacentral:rRNA from 1 species
AUUGAACGCUGGCGGCAGGCCUAACACAUGCAAGUCGAGCGGCUGAAGGGAGCUUGCUCCUGGAUUCAGCGGCGGACGGGUGAGUAAUGCCUAGGAAUCUGCCUGGUAGUGGGGGAUAACGUCCGGAAACGGGCGCUAAUACCGCAUACGUCCUGAGUGAGAAAUUGGGGGCACUUCGGACCUCACGCUAUCAGAUGAGCCUAGGUCGGAUUAGCUAGGUGGUGGGGUAAAGGCCUACCAAGGCGACGAUCCGUAACUGGUCUGAGAGGAGGGUCAGGCACCCCGGAACGGAGACACGGUCCGGACCACUAUGGUAGGGGGGAGUGGGGAAAAGUAGACUAUGGGAGAAAGGCUAAUCCAGACCUGCCGAGUGUGGUGAGAAGGGCCGCGGAUAUGAAAUGUCUUCAAGUUUGGAGGAGGGGUAGUAAGGUAAUACCGUGCGGUUUUGACGUUACCAAAAGAAUAAGCACCGGCUAACUUCGUG